rnacentral:lncRNA from 1 species
ACUGAGUGCCAGGGGUGGGAGGGUUAUGAUUUGUUAUGAGUCUCUCAUUCCCAAUAUGGAACCCAAGUCACCUCUAGACAGACAAUCGUUUUUCUUAUACUUUUGCCUCAUGGAUUUCAAACUAUGCUUCAGGAGAGAGGAAGGAUUCUGAGGCUAGGAAUGAAGUGGCUCUAAUAAUGUGUCGUCUCAAGGAGCUGAAUCAGAAUCCAAAGAGAAGAAGGCUGCCCUCUACACAGUCUCAGAUUCUUAUCCUUGGCUCCCCUGCUUAGAACAUCAAACUGACCUCUGGACUCUGAUAAAUGUAUGAAGAGAGAAGUGGAGCCAACGGGUGGUAAAUUCCAAAGGCCCACAUAGCAUGUCGAAGAAAAUAUAUUUGUUGGCUACAGCUGGCCCCUACGCCACCAGCUGUACAUACGUUAUGGGAGUGAAAUAAUCUGAGGAACCUAAUCGUCAAGUGCUCCACGGGGUCAGGAAAGGUGAGGACUGAAAAACAAGUUUCUUUACAGGUGGCCCCCCACCCCCAUCCCCGUCUCAAGGCUCAGAAUACCAUCUUCAGCAUGAAGAAAAUGCCACUAUCACUAUUUCAGGACAGUGGUCCACUGAGGAAACAAAUAUUUCUGCCUGGUGACACAGUCCUUACCAGUACUCCAGGACAUCUCAGUGGCAUUACCUUCCGCAUUUCCCCCCAAAACAAAAAUAAGGCUGCCCAGUAUUGGGAGUUGCUUGACCAAUAAAAUCUUAUCACUGCAACACUCAA